GAUGAACGCUAGCGGCAGGCCUAAUACAUGCAAGUCGGACGGGAUCCAUUGAUAGCUUGCUAUCAAUGGUGAGAGUGGCGCACGGGUGCGUAACGCGUGAGCAGCCUGCCUCCAUCAGGGGGAUAGCCUCUCGAAAGAGAGAUUAACACCGCAUAAUAUCAACAGUUCGCAUGUUCAGUUGAUUAAAUAUUUAUAGGAUGGAGAUGGGCUCGCGUGACAUUAGCUAGUUGGUAGGGUAACGGCUUACCAAGGCGACGAUGUCUAGGGGCUCUGAGAGGAGAAUCCCCCACACUGGUACUGAGACACGGACCAGACUCCUACGGGAGGCAGCAGUAAGGAAUAUUGGUCAAUGGGCGGAAGCCUGAACCAGCCAUGCCGCGUGCAGGAUGACUGCCCUAUGGGUUGUAAACUGCUUUUGUCCAGGAAUAAACCUAAAUACGAGUAUUUAGCUGAAUGUACUGGAAGAAUAAGGAUCGGCUAACUCCGUG
rnacentral:rRNA from 1 species